UUGACGUAAGAAAAAUCAAAAUGUCUGUGUUUGCAGCCAGCACUUUCAGACAGAGGAUUUCGAAACGGAACUGAAUCAACUGAUGGGGUUGCAAUGUCGUUGAGCUUUGAAAAGUGAUGAUAUUCCAUUGAAAUUCCCCUUCACCUCAAAGAGGAAGGCAUCCGAUCCGCGCAGCAGAAAAUAAGUUAAGCUGAGUAGUACAGCGCCUGUAGACCCAUUGGAUGAAAGCUUUCAGCCUGGAAUAAGCUCAAGCUCAACAUCAUCUGACUUUGAAACAAGCCAGGGCAGCCAAAGGAGACUUGCAGUACAAACAAAUCUUCUGCAAGAGGUCGAAGCAGUGGGGGGUGAAAAAGUGUACGAGAGGCCACAUGGCUGUGAAGUGCAGAAAAGAGCAGACGGUUGUCUACAAGGAGCCAGAGUCACAGCUCCACUAAACAUCUCUGCCAACAUCACCACAGCGCCAAAGCCUGCUAAACCAGCUAUCAUUACCCAACACAAGAAGAGGGUCACCAGCUGAAAAACAUUCAGGAACCUGCCUGGAACAUUCAACCAACACAACAUCCAUAUUUUGUAAUAUAAUAUGUAAAUGCCUAGUAUGCUCACAACUGCAUUGUGGUAUAUAUAUUGCUAGCUUUUGUACAUAAAGUUGAAGUGGGAAGUUUACAUGAACUUCGGUUGGGAGUCAUUAAAAUUUGAUUUUCAACCACAAAACAAAUGUCUUGUUAAUAAACUAUAGUUUUGG